rnacentral:rRNA from 1 species
GUAGGUGGCAAGCGUUGUCCGGAAUUAUUGGGGCGUAAAGCGCGCGCAGGUGGGUCUUUAAGUCUGAUGUGAAAAGCCCCCGGGCUCAACCGGGGAGGGUCAUUGGAAACUGGGGAACUUGAGUGCAGGAGAGGAAAGUGGAAUUCCACGUGUAGCGGUGAAAUGCGUAGAUAUGUGGAGGAACACCAGUGGCGAAGGCGACUUUCUGGCCUGUAACUGACACUGAGGCGCGAAAGCGUGGGGAGCAAACAGGAUUAGAUACCCUGGUAGUCCACGCCGUAAACGAUGAGUGCUAAGUGUUGGGGGGUUUCCGCCCCUCAGUGCUGCAGCUAACGCAUUAAGCACUCCGCCUGGGGAGUACGGUCGCAAAGACUG